rnacentral:rRNA from 1 species
UACGUAGGUGGCAAGCGUUGUCCGGAUUUACUGGGCGUAAAGGGCGUGCAGGCGGUCUGUUAAGUUCAGGGUGAAAGCUCCCGGCUCAACUGGGAGAGGUCCUUGGAUACUGGCAGACUUGAGGGAGGUAGAGGAGAGUGGAAUUCCCGGUGUAGUGGUGAUAUGCGUAGAUAUCGGGAGGAACACCAGUGGCGAAGGCGGUUCUCUGGGCCUGUACUGACGCUGAGGAGCGAAAGCGUGGGGAGCGAACAGG